UACAGAGACUGCAAGCGUUAUUCGGAUUCACUGGGCGUAAAGGGUGCGCAGGCGGCCAGUGUGUGUCAGGUGUGAAAGCCCGAGGCUCAACCUCGGAAUUGCGCCUGAAAACUACAUGGCUAGAGUACUGGAGAGGGUAGCGGAAUUCAUGGUGUAGCAGUGAAAAUGCGUAGAUAUCAUGAGGAACACCAGAGGCGAAGGCGGCUACCUGGACAGUUACUGACGCUCAGGCACGAAAGCGUGGGGAGCAAAAGGG
rnacentral:rRNA from 1 species